AAACUCCGAACAACAAACCCGGGCAGGUGGAGCUCGUUAGCCGUGGUAGGCAAUUCACCUAGGAGAGCAAACUCCGAACAACAAACCCGGGCAGGUGGAGCUCGUCAGCCGUGGCAGGCAGUUCAUCUAGGAGAGGGACAACUCCGAACAAGAAACACGGGCAGGUGGAGCUCGUCAGCCGUGGCAGGCAGUUCAUCUAGGAGAGGGACAAUUCCGAACAAGAAACCCGGGCAGGUGGAGCUCGUUAGCCGUGGCAGGCAGUUCAUCUAGGAGAGGGACAACUCCGAACAAGAAACCCGGGCAGGUGGAGCUCGUUAGAUGUCGUAGACAUCCACGUGAUGGGAACACCAAAAUGAAAAGGAGAAUGAAAAAGAACACCAGAAUAAUGAAAACGAAGAAACGAAACAUCAAGAAAACAAAAUAAGAAACAGAUCAUCCACCUUUCGGCCCUAAUUAACAUCACCAAAAUUAUGGGUGGGUCUUUUCUGGGGAGAAAAAGGCUCAUCCAGACCAAAGAACAUCAAGAGGGAUGAUACAGAAAAGAUAAAAGAACAACAAGAAAAGAAUUAAUACAAACAUCGUCCACCUUUCGGCCCCAAGGAACAUCACAAAAUUAUGGGUGGGUCUUUUCUGGGGAGAAAAAGGCUCAUCCAGACCAAAGAACAUCAGAACGGAUGAUACAGGAAAGAUAAAAGACCAACAUCAAGAAAAGAAGAAAAAAACAUCAUCCGCCUUUCGGCCACAAGUAACAUCACAAAAUUAUGGGUGGGUCUCUUCUGGGAGGAAAGCGGCUCACCCAGACCAACGAACAUCAACAAAAGGAUGAUAUAGAAAACAACAAGAGCUAGAAAAUGAACAGAAUAACAUCGAAAAUGAAAACAAAACAUCAAGGAAAGAAAACUAUAAGAAACAUCAUCCACCUUUCGGCCCUCAGCAACAUCACCAAAAUUAUGGGUGGGUCUCUUCUGGGAGGAAAGCGGCUCACCCAGACCAACGAACAUCAACAAAAGGAUGACAGGAAAAGAAAGAAAAGGAAAAAGAAAAAGAAGAGAGAGAAAAGAAAGAAUAA